CUGUCUGGAACGCAAACUAAGUGGCAGCAGCCCCUACAAUAAAGUUCUCACUGCCACCUUUUAAAGCCAGCACACCAAGUGCAAGCCUGUCAGCAACCUAGGCUGUAUUUAGGAGGGGUGGGGCUCUGCUGGAGGAGUCUGAUGUUCCCCUAAGUCUCGCCAUGCUCAACUGCAGAGGUGUCCCUCCAGCACCCCGGAAGGCAGCUCAAAUAGACAGAGGGGCUGUCAGCGUGACCUCAAUCCCUGGACUGAUCCUAAAGGGAGCAGCUCUCAGUUUUUGCCUUCAUCGCAGUCCCCUCAAGGCCAGAUGCAUCUUGAGAUUCAGAAAGUGAAACUGGAACCCUGGAGCCUCAGCUCUCACCGUCUGUCCAGAUCACCUUCUGUGACCCUCACAACCGGCUCCCAGGGGGCAAAGCUAGCUGACUGAAUAGGAGAGCCCAGAGUGAGGGAUGGAGAUUGAGCAUUUUGCUCUUCAUGUCUGACAUCCUUAUCCACCCCCAAACCUUCCACAUGGAAUAACCCUCCACAAAGCAGCUGUUCCCACUGCCCCAUCCACACAAUCCCUGGAGUGGCAUAAGACAGGGUAUAUAGCUUUCACCAGACUCUUGAGGAUGCUUGUGACUACAAGAAGGUAAAGAAUCAUAGUUACCAAGGUUCUCAUUUCUCCAAACAUGGCUGUCACAAGGAUUCCCCAGUGGUUAGGGAGAAACAACUACCCUCAGUCCAUUAUAAACUCUCACCAAG